CUCUUCAUGCAUAUCUAGCACUUGUAAUCAAUCAAACUUAUUGUAUUCUAACAUAUUCUCACCCCAAAAAACACUAGACAAGCCAUUUAAUGCUUGAAAGCAAUGGUUGUGGGUUCUUAGUUCAUUUCGGCCCAAGUUUCAGCAAGUCUUUCUACACUCUUCUAAACACUCUUCAUGCAUCACUGGCACUUGUAAACAAUCGAAUUAAUUUUAUUCUAACAUAUUAUUACCCCAAACAACACUAGACAAGCCAUUUAUUGCUUCAACGCAAUGUUUCUGAGUUCUUAGCCCAUUUGGGACCCAAUUUCAACAAGUCUUUCUCCACACAUCUAAACACUCUUCAUGCAUCUCUAGAACUUGUAAUCAAUCAAAUUUAAUGUAUUCUAACCUAUUCUCACCCCAAAGAACACUAAACAAGCCAUUUAGUGGUGCAACGCAAUGUUUUCGAGUUCUUAGCCCAUUUGGGACCAAAUUUCAACAAGUCUUUCUCCAAACUUCUAAACACUCUUCAUGAUGCUCUAGCACUUGUAAUCAAUAAAACUUAUUGUAUUCUAACAUAUUCUAACCACAAAAACACUAUACAAGCCAUUUAAUGCUUGAAAGCAAUGGUUGUGGGUUCUUAGCUCAUUUCGGCCCAAAUUUCAGCAAGUCUUUCUACACUCUUCUAAACACUCUUCAUGCAUGUCUAGCACUUGUAGUCAAUCAAAUACAUUGUAUUAUAACAUAAUAUUACCCCAAACAACACUAGACAAGCCAUUUACUGGUUCGACGCAAUGUUUCCGAGUUCUUAGCCCAUUUGGGAGCAAAUUUCAAGAACGCUUUCUCCACACAUGUAAACACUCUUCAGGCAUAUCUAGCACUUGUAAUCA
rnacentral:lncRNA from 1 species